AACUCCUCUUUCAGGCAACUGCUAUGCCUGACUCACAGACAUGUCUGGACAGGUGAGCUGGCAAAAGGUUUAAAAAGUUUGUGUGCAACUUUGGUGGAAUUAUUUGCAAGGCUGAUCUAUCCGAAAAGCUGGAUAAGAUCCUGGUGUUUUCAGCGAAGGAGGCAGGUCGAUUUGCUGCUCAGCAAGUUCUCCUCCGGCUGGGGCUGAGGUGAACUGUAAUCCAAAAAUCCUAAACUGGCCACAAUUAAAUGAAAUCGGUCCACACCACAGACCUAAGCUGGUUGAAUGAGCACCAUUCUGUCUCCUGGGGUUCUCUGGGAGUUGUAGUUCUGCAAAGAGGGAAAUUCUCAGAGCCUUCAUCAAACUGCAACUCCCAGGAUGUUUUGUGGGGGAAUCUGGAGCAGAACUUUGCAGCGCAGAAGGCCUCGAGUGAGCGUAAGUCGAAAAUGUUUGACAGUGAACAUCAAAGCUUUCUGGCAGCUUCGCAUGUCAGGAGCCUGAGAAAUUUUGCACCUACAUCAGCAGCUCUGGUGAGUAUUUAAUCUGAGGAAUAUGCAAGCCAGGUCUUGCCCGACUUGGCUGAAGGACGCUGCAAUGUGCCAAUCCCUUUCAGCGUGAAACCUGUCGAGAGAAUCAAUAAUUUUCUCAGAUGGAAUUGCUCCCAUUAUGCUUUAAGACGGAAGCUUGUUGCCUUUUUCUUGGCUGUUGCCAGAACGGAACUCGUGAGGCAUAUGUGGAAAUAGCCUUUCAAAUUCUCAUCAGCAAUGUUUGCAUUUUCAGGGGAACAAACAGAAAACUUUUCACGGUGUGCUUGGGCGCAAUGGAACUGCUAUUUCAUAGCUGUGCUUUCAUUUCCAAAAUGUUUAAAUCUUAUUCAGUAUUGAGAAAAUGAAACUUAAGUGCUUGUCAGCUAUCCUAAAACAUUCCUAAAAGCUGAAAUGUUUGAAGCCGGGAACAGGUUUAUUUCUUAGGGAGCCUUUAGCAACUGGGUCUGCCUACAUUUUUUUUUCUUUUUACCUUAUAGCACUACCACUAAAAUUCAGAAGCUCUUUGUAAAGUGGAAGCUGAAAAUGUAAGAUCUCCCCCUGGAAUAUUCCUGAAAAAUUUAGGUCCCCACAACCCUGGCUGGCUUAAGAUAUUUUGCGGUCAGAAGCAGCAGUGAACAACACUACCACUGUACUUGACCAAGGUAUGUGUAACCCUGAGCUCUACCUCCA